rfam:Bacillus galactosidilyticus strain PL133 scaffold000140, whole genome shotgun sequence.
GAUGUAAGAAGAAAGGCUAAGUUCGCGCCGUCCUGGCGCAACGCCUUUCUGACCAACAUCCUGUUGC